AACGCACAUUGCACUCCUUGGUAUUCCGAGGAGUAUGCCUGUUUCAGUAUCAUGAGCACUCUCACAACUAAUCUUUGUUGGUUAAGAUUGUGGAAUUGGGAUGCGCCAGUUGUUAUUGAUUGGCCCUCCUAAAAUGUAGCUCUUGACUGUGGACUACUACAGUAGUUUGGCCUAAUAGUUUUGGCAGUUAUAUGUCAAAUCUUUGGCUACAUUUACUUUGGUCCAUGCAGUCUUGAUAUACAGAAAACUCUAAAUACAACUUUGAUCUGAAAUCAGGUAGGGCUACCCGCUGAACUUAA
rnacentral:misc_RNA from 1 species